GAUAUUUUGGUUGACUUCUUUUGACUUUCCAAUUAUGUUACACAUGGUGCUUCAGGAUUGUGUCGAAAAUUCAUCCACAGGUGUGUCUCUUAUGAACUGAAAUGUUCUCAAUAAACCUCUCCGAAACCCCUCAAGACCCUCAUCUGGGUUUUCCCAAACUGUUGAAUGGAUAGUAAUUUUAGGGUAAGUGCAAUUCUGAAUUUGAAGAACAGACUGAAAAAUGGUCCCUAAAAUUUCCUUCUUUCAUUAUUCUGGCAUUUAGUAAAUAGAAAUACUGAACAUUCCAUUGAAGCCUUGUGAUGUUUUGCGAUGAGUAAUUAAACCGGGUGACGAUCCUACAUUGAGUCCACAGAUAGAACAGAGAAAUAAAAUGCUCGAUAAUAUAGUCAUUAAGGUAUGUUUUACAGCAAUCUAAGACCAGAGCCGACUAAACGUCCAUGGCGGCUGUCACAGAAUCAUCCCCCUUAGAGAUAAAUAACGUGCGCACAGAUCCCCUCUGCCCCCAUCCCUUUUCACUGCCUCCUGCUUUGUCCUCCGCCCAGCUUCAACCAAUUUUUAUUUCACCACUGCUUCAUAGUCCCCCCCCCCCCCCUUCCUCCAUCGCUCUUCUGCAUGGCUCUGUCCAACAAGCAGCAGCUGAUGAUGGGCUCCACGUCACACCAACAGCAGUGUCGGUAUGACAUUUUAAAAAAAAUGUUUCCUCCCUUUUUAUAUUUGCGCUGUUUUGGUAGAAGCUGUGCUUCUGUGUGCACAACCAGCCCCCACAGCAGGGAGAGGGGAGGAGAGAACGCUAAGCGUGAGCAAUGUUGUUUCCCCCACCCUCCUCUUUCUUCUUGCUCAUUCUUAUGCUCCUUCAUUGCCACGGCCAUCAGGAUCCGUCCUCCCUCUUUUGCCAUCAUUCUGCUCGGUUAUGCAAUGCACAGUCCUGCCAUGGUAUCUAACUGGUGUUGAGGACCCACCGUAACACUGCUGUCACUGCCGGUACGUUAACAUCUCGAAGACUAUAGUAAUCGUCUGGCUCUGCGGCUGCCUCUGCCUCUCCACAGUGAUCUAAUCUAUGGAAUAUUUUGGCUUUUUAUCUUCCUCUGGAAUAUCAACAACCAGACCUGGCUACUUCAGGGACCUGUGCGUUCUCCGCUAGAAGAUUGGAGGCAUGGUGGCAUAGAGACAUCAGCUGACACACCUACACAACUAUCAGACAAUGAUAUAUCGUUCGGGGUCGGAUGCAUCCGGAGUGAGCAAGAUACUUGAUUGAGAAGCACUAAUUGCACUGUUUCCCAGAAGAAUCCGAAGCAAGAAAGAUGUAACCGACAGAGCAAGCGGGGUGGGUAAAUUAACCAACACUAUGAGGAGGGAUUUGGGAGAAUUGUACAGAAGAGUUGACACAAAACAGGGAACCACAAGGGAAGGGAUGGAAAGAAAGGUGGGAAGAGAGAAGAGGGCUCGUCAUCACCAUCAUCAAAUAAAGCUGGUUGUACUUAAGCAGAUAAAAAAUUACUGAAGACUAGGGAAGGGUCUGACUGAAUUCAAUUAUCAGGGGACAUUGGACUUGGUGUUUUGAACUGGAUGUGACACAAGGUGGGUUUUCCCUGGAAGUACAGUUGAGCAAAGCUGCUGAUUCUCCCCCCUUCGCCUGCAGGUUUCCAUAUGUAGCAUGCCUUUAAAUCCGAGGAAUUUUAUGAAGAUCCAAAAAGCAUGGUGAAAGACAAUUCUUUGCACCAGAACCACCUUAGGAUAAUCCAAGGUUAUGCUUAUCCAAUUGUUGACAUAAAGCCUGAAAUUAGUCCUUAUCUCCUAGUUUGUGGCAGAUACGGGUCACCUUGAGGGGUUAGGGGAGUUGCAAGAUCAUGGGCACCACAGUUAUCACCCUUGAUGAUGUGCGUGCACUGGAGCUGAAGGAGGAGCAGGAGGAAUCCAUCUUGGCCAUGUUAGGCAUCGUUGGCACAUUCCUCAACCUAUUUGUAAUUGUGUUUGUAUACAUUUACACCACAUUAUAGUGAAUAAGAUAUUUUCGUAACAAUCGACUUUCAGAAACGACUACAAGAAGUUGAGAGAACAAUAUUAAGUUAGGAAAGAUUGUUCAAAAAGUUUGAAAUGAAUCUUAUCCUAAUUAAGAGGUGGGAUAAGUUAGAGGAACUGUGUGAAGACACGGAAAACAUACCAAGUCAAAGUCAUAAGCUGGAAAGAUAGCGAAGGGUUGGAAGAGACAGCAUGAAACAUGAAGAAGGUAUUACUGGAGCUGGAACUAUGAUGGACAUACGCAAGAGCUCAACCAGGACUGACAUCCCUAUGAUUCAGCAAAACUAUAAACUGGGUCUCGAAGUCGUUUUGUUCUGACUGCUGAUACAAUGAAAUAUUUAUGUCAUAUGUUGUCUCUUACCUGAAAUAUAUUAUUUAAAAACAGAGCCUAAGCUGGUAGUUGCUUUGAUUUGCCCAUAGUUGAACAAAGCAUUUGACUAUAAAGAGAGUACAAGAUGAAACUGAAGUCAUUUUUACUAAUUAAAAUUUGUUAUCAUUCAAAACCCAAAGGAUAUUUUCGCCUCAUUAUGUGGGCUAUCACAGUUGCAGAAAAGAAGAUUUAUAAUUAGGUAUCAUAGUAAAAUAUUUUUCAAGGAUUAUUUUGGAACAGCAAAAGAACACUGAAUUGAGCUAUUACUCCUAAUAGCAUUUUAUUUAUUUAAGAGUUAAUGUAAAUAAGUCACGAGUGCAAGCGACCAGUGGCUCUGAUCCAACCUGUCGCGGGACAUUUUCACUAGAAGAUAGUGAGUCAUGGUCAUCUGUGUAGGGAAUGGUUCAUCCAGCAUCGGCAGGGAAAAUGUGAAACCCUACGGUUUCACACUGAAAAUAGUAUGGAAAAAAAAAAAAUUCUGAGCAACAGCCCAUUUACAGAGUAAAGUCAGUCAGGCCACAUUCGCCUUGUUCUUUCUGUCACGGAGAUGUUUACGCAUUACUUAAAAUGGGAGUGCGGUGGGACAACAAUGCUGCCCUAACUGAUAUGAAGUGGCAAAAAAUAUUAAGGGCUCCUCGCUUCAUACCAGUUACAGAGUUGUACAUUAACAAUGGCCAGAUGACCCGGGGCCACUACGUGCCUGUGUCAGGUCACCCGAAGUUCGCUGAUGCUGGCCCCACUGGUCCAGUACACAUUUUGUAUAUAAAUAGAAUAAAAUCAACACGUUCAUAUUUAUGAAUCAUUAUUGUACAUUUGUUCGUGAGCGCGCACACAUGCACGCACGCACGCACGCACGCGCGCGCGCGCAC